AAUUCUUGCUCCCGUUGUUCGAGACAUUAAAGUGUUGGAAAGUGAUGGUAUUGACAUUCCAUUAUACAGUGGUCGUGUACGUGGCAGUGUGGUACAGGUUACUGGUGAUAAUUUGGGUUUACAUGGCUUGUUUGGUCUGGUGGAGUCUUUCAGUGCAAGGUACUGCUGCAGGUUUUGUUUAGCUGAAAAAGAUGACUUUCAAACGGAAUUCUCUGAAGAUUCCUCCAAAAUAGUGUUACGCACCAAGGACAUGCACACUGCUCACUGUCAAGAAAUAGCUUGCAAUCCAUCUCUUCCUUACGUUUUUGGUGUGAAGAGAACAUGCUUACUAAAUUCACUGAAGUAUUUUCACACAACUGAGAACUUCUCAGUUGAUGUGAUGCAUGAUUUGUUAGAAGGGGUGGCCCAGUACGAAUUGAAGUGUCUGUUUGUGUAUUUAAAAGAAAAACAUGUUACAUUAGAGGAACUUAAUUCAAGAAUACAAAGUUUUGAUUAUGGAUUCAUGGAGAGAAACAAUAGACCAGUGGCAGUCAAUUUAAAAGAAGGGUCUAAUGAUCUGGGACUGAAUGCAAUUCAGUCGUGGUGCUUACUGAGGAAUGUUCCUCUUAUCUUUGGAGAUUUGGUCACUUCUACUGAUCAACACUGGGCCCUGCUUCUUUUAUUACUUCAGAUAGUAAACAUUGUAUUCUCUCCCUUGCUUUCUCAAGGUUUAUGUGUAUAUUUAAAACAUUUGAUUGUUGAACACCACAAACUGUUUAAGAAGUUGUAUCCCCAGAAAAGACUUUUACCAAAGCACCAUUUUCUUAUCCAUUAUCCCCGCUGCAUCCAGAAAAUUGGACCUGUACUUCAUAGUUGGUGCAUGCGGUAUGAAGGAAAGCAUAAUUAUUUCAAAAAACAGCUCAAGUCAUUCAAAAAUAUUACUAAAACACUGGCAAAAAAACAUCAGAAUCAUAUGGCAUAUAGUUGGCGAUCUUCAGCAACUUUCACACGAUUAGACAUUGGUCCAGGAAAAAUGGUGUCUUUAAAUAUGGUAAAAGGGGGUUCUGCGAUUGUUCAUGCAAUGCAAGUACCUAGUUGCAUUCAGGUU
rnacentral:lncRNA from 1 species